rnacentral:rRNA from 1 species
AUUGAACGCUGGCGGAAUGCUUUACACAUGCAAGUCGAACGGUAGAGGGGCAACCCUUGAGAGUGGCGAACGGGUGAGUAAUGUAUCGGAACAUGCCCAGUCGUGGGGGAUAACGUAGCGAAAGUUACGCUAAUACCGCAUACGAUCUAUGGAUGAAAGCGGGGGAUCGCAAGACCUCGCGCGAUUGGAGUGGCCGAUAUCAGAUUAGGUAGUUGGCGGGGUAAAGGCCUACCAAGCCGACGAUCUGUAGCUGGUCUGAGAGGACGACCAGCCACACUGGGACUGAGACACGGCCCAGACUCCUACGGGAGGCAGCAGUGGGGAAUUUUGGACAAUGGGCGCAAGCCUGAUCCAGCCAUUCCGCGUGCAGGAAGAAGGCCUUCGGGUUGUAAACUGCUUUUGUACGGAACGAAACGCGCUGAGCUAAUACCUCGGCGUAAUGACGGUACCGUAAGAAUAAGCACCGGCUAACUACGUGCCAGCCGCCGCCGUAAUAC